ACUACGGGGUGCUGCAGUGGGGAAUAUUGGACAAUGGGCGAAAGCCUGAUCCAGCCAUGCCGCGUGUGUGAAGAAGGCCUUCGGGUUGUAAAGCACUUUCAGUGGGGAAGAAAGCCUUGGGGCUAAUACCCUCGAGGAAGGACAUCACCCACAGAAGAAGCACCGGCUAACUCCGUGCCAGCAGCCGCGGUAAUACGGAGGGUGCGAGCGUUAAUCGGAAUUACUGGGCGUAAAGCGCGCGUAGGCGGUCUGAUAAGCCGGUUGUGAAAGCCCCGGGCUCAACCUGGGAACGGCAUCCGGAACUGUCAGGCUAGAGUGCAGGAGAGGAAGGUAGAAUUCCCGGUGUAGCGGUGAAAUGCGUAGAGAUCGGGAGGAAUACCAGUGGCGAAGGCGGCCUUCUGGACUGACACUGACGCUGAGGUGCGAAAGCGUGGGUAGCAAACAGGAUUAGAUACCCUAGUAGUC
rnacentral:rRNA from 1 species